rnacentral:rRNA from 1 species
UACGAAGGGUGCGAGCGUUGCUCGGAAUUAUUGGGCGUAAAGCGUACGCAGGCGGCUUGGCAAGUCGAGUGUGAAAGCCCAGGGCUCAACCCCGGAACUGCAUUCGAUACUGCUAGGCUUGAGUGCGGGAGAGGGAAGCGGAAUUCCUGGUGUAGAGGUGAAAUUCGUAGAUAUCAGGAGGAACACCGGUGGCGAAAGCGGCUUCCUGGCCCGACACUGACGCUCAUGUACGAAAGCGUGGGGAGCAAACAGG